UCGGCAUUGGCGGGUCUGGGUAUUGCGUUUCUUCCCGAAGAGGAGUUUGCUCCGCAUCUUCAGGAGGGGCGCCUGGUUCGGGUCCUGGAAGACUGGU
rnacentral:tRNA from 1 species